rnacentral:rRNA from 1 species
AGAGUUUGAUCAUGGCUCAGAUUGAACGCUGGCGGCAGGCCUAACACAUGCAAGUCGAACGGUAACAGGAAGCAGCUUGCUGCUUCGCUGACGAGUGGCGGACGGGUGAGUAAUGUCUGGGAAGCUGCCUGAUGGAGGGGGAUAACUACUGGAAACGGUAGCUAAUACCGCAUAAUGUCGCAAGACCAAAGAGGGGGACCUUCGGGCCUCUUGCCAUCGGAUGUGCCCAGAUGGGAUUAGCUUGUUGGUGGGGUAACGGCUCACCAAGGCGACGAUCCCUAGCUGGUCUGAGAGGAUGACCAGCCACACUGGAACUGAGACACGGUCCAGACUCCUACGGGGGGCAGCAGUGGGGAAUAUUGCACAAUGGGCGCAAGCCUGAUGCAGCCAUGCCGCGUGUAUGAAGAAGGCCUUCGGGUUGUAAAGUACUUUCAGCGGGGAGGAAGGGAGUAAAGUUAAUACCUUUGCUCAUUGACGUUACCCGCAGAAGAAGCACCGGCUAACUCCGUGCCAGCAGCCGCGGUAAUACGGAGGGUGCAAGCGUUAAUCGGAAUUACUGGGCGUAAAGCGCACGCAGGCGGUUUGUUAAGUCAGAUGUGAAAUCCCCGGGCUCAACCUGGGAACUGCAUCUGAUACUGGCAAGCUUGAGUCUCGUAGAGGGGGGUAGAAUUCCAGGUGUAGCGGUGAAAUGCGUAGAGAUCUGGAGGAAUACCGGUGGCGAAGGCGGCCCCCUGGACGAAGACUGACGCUCAGGUGCGAAAGCGUGGGGAGCAAACAGGAUUAGAUACCCUGGUAGUCCACGCCGUAAACGAUGUCGACUUGGAGGUUGUGCCCUUGAGGCGUGGCUUCCGGAGCUAACGCGUUAAGUCGACCGCCUGGGAGUACGGCCGCAAGGUUAAAACUCAAAUGAAUUGACGGGGGCCCGCACAAGCGGUGGAGCAUGUGGUUUAGUUCGAUGCAACGCGAAGAACCUUACCUGGUCUUGACAUCCACAGAAGUUUUCAGAGAUGAGAAUGUGCCUUCGGGAACCGUGAGACAGGUGCUGCAUGGCUGUCGUCAGCUCGUGUUGUGAAAUGUUGGGUUAAGUCCCGCAACGAGCGCAACCCUUAUCCUUUGUUGCCAGCGGUCCGGCCGGGAACUCAAAGGAGACUGCCAGUGAUAAACUGGAGGAAGGUGGGGAUGACGUCAAGUCAUCAUGGCCCUUACGACCAGGGCUACACACGUGCUACAAUGGCGCAUACAAAGAGAAGCGACCUCGCGAGAGCAAGCGGACCUCAUAAAGUGCGUCGUAGUCCGGAUUGGAGUCUGCAACUCGACUCCAUGAAGUCGGAAUCGCUAGUAAUCGUGGAUCAGAAUGCCACGGUGAAUACGUUCCCGGGCCUUGUACACACCGCCCGUCACACCAUGGGAGUGGGUUGCAAAAGAAGUAGGUAGCUUAACCUUCGGGAGGGCGCUUACCACUUUGUGAUUCAUGACUGGGGUGAAGUCGUAACAAGGUAACCGUAGGGGAACCUGCGGUUG